AUGUCGCGCCUCCACCCCCGCUACUUCUCCAGCUCCAUCCCCUCACUCGCCGACGAGCUGCUGAGCGAACUCCACCAUCAUCUGGGCUCUGGGACGCUCAGUCCGCAGCUCGCACACCAACUGUUCGACGAAAUGCUGCGCCAACCCGUCCCAGUAUCAUCGCGUGCGCUCAAUGGCUUAUUUGCUGCCCUCGCGCGUACGCCGCCCUCCACCACCUGCACAGAUAGCCCUGCCCUCGCCAUCAAUCUCUUCAACCGCAUGGCCCGAGCAGGUCGCGGCAGGGUGAUAGCACCCAGCAGUCACACCUACAGCAUACUAAUUGAAUGCUGCUGCCUCGCGCGCCGUCCGGACCUUGGGCCUUCCUUCUUCGCUCACCUCCUCAAGACAGGCGUCACGGUAGACGUCGUCACCUUCAGUGGCUUAUUCAAGUGCCUCUGUGACAUGAAGCGCACGGAGGAGGUUCUGGAUGUGCUGCUUCAUAGGUGCCUCACAACCUGCCUAAUGUCAUCUCCUACUCAGUAG
rnacentral:rRNA from 1 species